CCUGCAGCAGGCUCGGAGGCUGGAGAGGCAGCUGGCAGCAGCGGAUGACACUGAAGCCAGCGGCGGCAGGAUAGGUAUGGGCAAAUCUGGGCCAGAGGCUCUCAGGCCCCGAAACCUCAGGCCCAGGAUGACCUGGUGCUUCAGUGCUCCUCAGCCCAUAAGCUCAGGGACAGGGCUGCAGCACGACUGGCCAUACACAUGCAUGACCAAGGGAAGAGAGAAGGAACUCCAUGACCUCACACCCCGACCCCAUGAGUGCUUGGCUGCAUCCCUGUCUUAAUUCCUUGCCAGUGCCAUUGAGUUUAUGUUAUAGAGAGCACAGUCCCUUGUUACUUCAUGGCUCAUGAAACAUCACCACGUAGGUGCUAUGACACUCAUCUUAGAGUGGGGAACUCGAUGGUCGGCAUGUUAAAUGAGUUGCCCAUCUGGGGCCCUCUAGCUAGUUAGCUGCAAAGCCUGAAUCUCCUGAGUCCUCAAUCCCUUCCCACCUCAUUCUGCAGCAAUCUUCCACUUCCCACAAAUAAAUGCAAAAAAAGGAGCCCAUCCCAUGACGACACCUCCCCCAUGACCCUGAUACAAGGAAAGGCAAGGAGAAGUAGCAGUGGCAUCUUCCUGGAGUUUAUCUUGCUCUUUCUAGAAAUUACUCUCUGCCCACAAAAAAAAAAAAAAAAAAAAAGAACCAGGGUCAGAAUUGACUUGAGUUUGAAGACCUGCCCCACAGUUUAUUAAUUCUUUGACCUUGGGCAAGUUAUUAAUGCUAAUCCCUCCCUGUCACUGUUUUACAGUCUUUUAAAAGGAAGAGUAAAAUCAUGCGUACUGGCCAGGUGUGGUAGCUCAUGACUGUAAUCACAUCACUUUGGGAGGUCGAGGCAGGUGGAUUGCUUGAGGUCAGGAGCUCGAGACCAGCCUGAUCAAUAUGGUGAAACUCCAUAUCUACUAAAAAUACAAAAAAUAGCCAGGCAUGGUGGCGGGAGCCUGUAAUCUCAGCUAUUUGGAAGGCUGAGGCAGAAGAAUCACUUGAACCGAGGAGGUGGAAGUUGGAGUGAGCUGAGAUCACAUCAUUGUACUCCAGUCUGGGUGACACAGUGAGACUCCAUCUCAAAAAAAAAAAAUAGUGCAUACUUUAUAGCUUGACUUGUAGGACUGAGUAAAAUACAACUUCUGUGGAGUUCUGAGUUCAGAUUCUGAUAAAUGGCAGGUGCUCAAGAACACAAGCCCCCUCCUUUGAGAAGAUGUUCUCAGCUUCUCAAAAGGUCUGAUGCCACUCAGUUCCCACUUGCUUCUUCCAAAGCAGGCCAUUGAGGCAUUGUCCUUUCUUCCCUUCUGAAUUCAGAAUGCUAAGUUGGGCCCAAAGGAAAUCAAUGCAGUGUUUGCCGGGAACUCCCUCUGGUCAGGGAUGUAGUACUUUGAACCCGGAAAGACUUCCAGGGUGAUGCUAAACCCUCAACUCCUCCUCUUCACUCCCCCUCCCCCUGGUACUAGGAAUGAUGCACUAUCCCAGGACAGAGCUGUGGGCCCCAGCCCUGUAUGAAAUGGAGAUCCCAGAUCCUGAGGGUUCAGGGCUCAUGGUGCCCAUCCUGGGCAUGGAGCAUGAUGAGAAUUCGGGCGAUGCCACACCUCUGGCAGGCUCAACAGCAAAGCUCUAGUUUCUAAAGCCAGCGAUGGGCUUGGCUUCCACAGGUCUUAUCCCAAUUUCAAUCGGGGCUCAAGCCAUAGACCUCUUGACUGGGGAGCCUGGUCCCGUCACUGGAGCUCAAAGGGAUCCCUCUUCCAGAGUGGUGGUGCCCAUUGUCCAGGUGCUGGAGUCCUUACCUCGAGGAGUGAGAGACCCUGGUCUGCUGGAUGUCCUGGAGCGGGAGCUGAGGGCCCGGGAGCAGUACUGGCACCACCAGGAACAGGAGGAGGAGAUGCUACUGGAUCACCUGGGGCACCUGAGCCAGGAGCUCCACUUCACUGCAGGCAAUGGCAUGGAGCAGCAGCCCUGGAGUCCCACUGCCUGCAGGAGACGGAGAGAAGAGCCAGGGCUCUGAGCACACACAGCAGCCCAGUGUGGGGCCUGCUCUCUCAAGGUGGUUCAUCGUCUCUCUGAUGAGUUUCGAGGGCUGAUGAGGGAGAGACAGAACUUCCUGGCUAGGGCCCUGGGUCAGCUACGGUACCGACGGGAAUGGAGCCGCCUCCAGAUCCUGCACACCCAGACGACUGCCUCAGGAAGCCCUGUGUGUUUGGAGAAUUACCCUGGACACAUAUUCUAUGCAACAGUCACAACUUCUGUCAGGGACCGGGCCACUGCCUGUCCCGUGUUGAUCCCUUUCCUGAAGCAACUCACUGCAGCUCAAGGGCUGGAGGAUCAGAGGCCAGGAACAGGUCAGGCUGGUCCCUACUCCAGCGUUGCCUCCUGCUGCCAAUCCUGGCCAUGUUUCGUUUCUUUGGGCUAAAGAUCUGGAUGCAGCAUAGCUGGAUGCAUCUGGCCCAGGGUCUCCACAAGCUACAAGUAGGCCAGGACUGCAGUCAUCUCAAGGCUUGACUGCAGGAGGAUGGAGGAUUCACUUCCGAGCUCACUCUUGUGGCUAUUGGUAGACCCCAAGUCCUCGUUGGCUGUUGGCCAGAGACAACAACUCCUGCCACAAGAUCUUCGUGGGCAGCUCACAACAUGGCAGCUGGCUGCUCUCAGAGCAAGCAGGCCAGAGAGUGAGAGAGGAUACAGAUAAAGCUAACAUCAUCUGGGCUUCACCAUUCUUCUCCAUCCUGAAGAAAACAGAUAAUCUGGCCCCAAGACCACAAGGAAGACACUGAACUGCAAAAACAAGUGUAUCACAAACCAGACCCAAAGAGCUCUUUACAGUAUCUUCGAAAACCUCAAACAGUGCAGAAGGAAGAGCUGAUACCUGUGCAACCCAUUGGCCUUUCUGCCAGGGAGUUUGUGGCCUCUCCAUCCUGCACCUCCUCAUCCCCCCGCUUCGUGCUCCAGAAAUCACCCUGAAGAUUGCUUCUCAUCUUCCUGCCAUGGAAGCCCAAGGAAGUGCCUUCCAAGAUGACUUCUUCUAUCAGAGUGCUGAGAACACACUGUUCAUUGGGAGAGAGUGCCUGGCCUCUGUGGGAAGCUUUGUUCUGCUGCUGAUCCACUGCCUGGCCCACAUCACUGCUGGGGAACCCUACCAGGACUCCAGCCCUGCCUUUCUGGGGUCAUUUUACAAGGGCCUGAAGGCCUAUCAGGGAAGCAUUCUCUAACACACUGAGAAUGUCAGCAGUUUCCAGGGACAAUAAACUUGAACAAAGCAUAAGCACUAUUCUGCUGGAAGAGCAGCCCAUCUCUGAAAGGGAGAGAUCUUCUGUCUAAACUAAUCGAAAUGAGGCAUGCAUCUCCCUUGGAGCCAGAAUCAUUAGAAGAGAUGAGGAAACUGAAGCCUAGAAGUGUUUUUAAAAAACUUGCUUAAGAUAUAGCAACAGCUGUGGAGCAGGAACGUUAGUCAUCCAACAACCACCAUCUAUGAAGACAUCUCACUUUAUUUUAAAAGAAAAAUUGUACAUAGUACUCUCAGGUCCACAUUGUAGCUAAGAAGAUCCAAGGGUACUUAAAAUAAAUGGUAAGAAGAGUAUUAACUCCUCCACAUUCUCUAUCGUAUAUUAAGAAAAACAAAGAUCUUCUGCUCUUCACCAAUAUGGAACAUUUCCUAAAAAGCAUCCUUGCAGAAGAACAACGAAUCCUAAGAAAACCAAGAAAUCAAUUUGGGAGUGAAGAUAAGAUGAGAUCCCCUAUGAUCAACAGCAUUAAGAUGAUAGUUAGCUAUAUGCCAACUAUUUAUUACUGUGUUUGGGCCAUAUUUAUAACUGAACAUGUCCACAGAACAAAAGGUUGGAAAUCAGUGAUGGUAUGAAUAAGUGACAUCACUUCCUUUGAGAGCUUCCCCAAUACCAGAUGAGAGGGUAGAUCUCAGAUUUCAGAAAAGACCCUAGAGAGAAAAGAGUUCAUCCAUUUCCCUUCAGGCAGGUAACAUAUUAAACCUAGAGAGAAGGAAUUGAGGAUCAGGCUUGCCCCCAUUCAUCAAGCUGGAGGAGAACAAAAAGUAGCGAGGACAUGGAUCCACUGUCUUCUCAUUCAGGGUUUCCUCCACUAUACCACGAUGAUACCAACUGCUGUUUUACAAAAGUUUGUUUUUAAUCCUAAGCAUUUAGUAUGUUGUAUCUUCAAGAAUCAAAUGUUUUGGCUCCAAAUCAUCACUAAUAUUUUGUAAGGUCAAUGGAUAAUAUUAGCAAACAGAGAAUCCCAAAGUCUUCACCCUCCUUGUGCGCAGUAGGGAUCCAACACGUCAAGAUCAAGAUCAGAAACUAGCAACCUAGAGAAAUAACCAGGCACUGACUCCUCCUGGGUCCCAAUCCACUUUAUUUAAAGUUAUUGCCAGUAUAGGGUAUGAAAACUUUUAAACCUUUAUUAAAAUAACAGCUUUAAAAGUGAACAGAUAAUAAAUUUAUACGUCAAUGAAUUGGCCAAUAUGAAUACUCCCAUAUAAGUAGCCCCAGAUCAAGAAAUAAAACAUGACCGGUUCUCCAGAAGUACCUUAUGCCUCCUUCUAGUCACUUCUUUCAAGAUAGAGUAACCACCAUCCUGACUUCAAACAUCAUAGUUUUUGCUUAUUCAUGAACUUCAUAUAAAUGGAACCAUAAGAUAUGAGUUACUUUAUUGCUUAUUUUGCUCCACUUUCUGAGAGUCAUCCACAUUGUGGCAUGCAGUCGUAGUUUGUUGAUUCUCUUUGCUGAAAACUAUUCCAUUGUGUGGAUACAUCACUAGUUACUCAUUCAACUGCUGAUGUAUAUGUGGGUAUUUCCCAGCUUGGGAUUAUUACAAAACAGCCUUGUACAACUUCUGGUGAUGAUAUGUAACUAUAGUUUGCCAAGUACAUACUUAGGACUAGAAAUCCUGGGUCUUAGGACAUGGAUAUGUUCAGUGUUAGUAGAUACUACCAGCUAGAGUUCUGAAAUAUUUACUGCUGCCAGCAGUGAAGGGUUCUGGUUGCUUUCCAUUUCUAUCAGCAGUUAGCAUCUUAAGUCUUUUUUUUUACUAUUUUUUCUUGUGUGUGGUAUUCUCAAUGUAGUUUUAAAUUUCUCUGACAACCAAUGAAACUGAGCAUCUUUCAUGCUGUUAUACCAUUUAGAUAUCCUCUCUUGUAAAGUACCUAUUCCAGUCUUUUGCCCAUUUUCCAUUAGAUUGCACCUAUUUUAUUCUUGAUUUGUAGGAAUUAUUUAUUCUGCAAUUAUAUCCCCCAUUUUGUGGACUUUUUAUAAAAAUGACAACACUUAUCUUUUUUCAUUUCAUUUUUAGAUCUAGAAAGAAAAUGGUAAUCUCAUUUCAGUCUGCAUGGUCAAAAGGUAUUAAAUACAUAAGUACAACAUCUGAUGAAGCUGAUAAGAAUUAUUGAAAAAUCUAUAAUAUUCAUGGUAAAUCACAUAAAUGUAUAUUGUAGUUUUCAGUGUCUAUAUAAUACGGACUAGUAUUUGCCACAAAAGUUGAGGACUCCUGCUCACUAUGACCAAAAUUUUUAGUGUGACUAAAAGUUUAGAUCACAUAUCUUAUUAAAGUAUCUAUUAAUGAUAUUGACUAAAACUCGAGAAAUGUAAAAUUUGUAUAUGCCAUCAUUCAACCAGGCUAAGGUUAUUACUGAAUCACAAAGCAGAUGGAUAUAUGUGUACAGUAGUUGGUGAUCUAGAAUGUGUACUUAAAAUAUAGGCCAUGUCACACAAAAUUCACUUUGGAGGCCCUGGUUGAAACACCACAAAGAGAUAAGCAGUCAUCUGAAAGUGAAGUUUUGGAGUGCUGAUCAGGAGACACAGCACCAUUACAUGAAUUUAAGUAAAAAAAAAAAAAAAAAAGCUCAAAUACAAA